GGCGAACGCUGGCGGCGGGCUUAACACAUGCAAGUCGAACGGAAAGGCCCUGCUUUUGUGGGGUGCUCGAGUGGCGAACGGGGGAGUAACACGUGAGUAACCGGCCCUUGACUUUGGGAUAGCUUCAGGAAACGGGGGCUAAUACCGGACAGGAGCUCCUGCUGCAUGGUGGGGGUUGGAAAGUUUCGGCGGUCGGGGAUGGACUGGCGGCUGACGAGCUUGUUGGUGGGGUAGUGGCUGACCAAGGCUUUGACGGGUAGCCGGCAUGAGAGGGUGGCCGGGGACAUUGGGACUGAGAGACGGCGCAGACUCGUACGGGAGGCAGCAGGGGGGAGUAUUGCACAGUGGGCGGGAGCGUGAUGCAGCGACGCCGCGUGCGGGAUGACGGCCUUCGGGUUGUGAACCGCUUUCGCCUGUGACGAAGCGUGAGUGACGGUACUGGGUAAAGAAGCACCGGCUAACUACGUG
rnacentral:rRNA from 1 species